rnacentral:rRNA from 1 species
UACGGAGGGUGCAAGCGUUAAUCGGAAUGACUGGGCGUAAAGGGUGCGUAGGUGGUUAAUUAAGUUAGUUGUGAAAUUCCUGGGCUCAACCUGGGGUGGUCAACUAAGACUGAAUAACUUGAGUAUAGGAGAGGGUAGUGGAAUUUCCGGUGUAGCGGUGAAAUGCGUAGAGAUCGGAAGGAACACCAGUGGCGAAGGCGGCUACCUGGCCUGAUACUGACACUGAGGCACGAAAGCGUGGGGAGCAAACAGGAUUAGAUACCCUGGUAGUCCACGCUGUAAACGAUGUCAACUAGCUGUUGGUCACGUAGAUGUGAUUAGUGGCGCAGCAAACGCGAUAAGUUGACCGCCUGGGGAGUACGGUCGCAAGAUUAAA